UACGGGGGGGGUAAGCGUUGUUCGGAAUUACUGGGCGUAAAGGGCUCGUAGGCGGCCAACUAAGUCGGACGUGAAAUCCCUCAGCUUAACUGGGGAACUGCGUCCGAUACUGGAUGGCUUGGAUUUGGGAGAGGGAUGCGGAAUUCCAGGUGUAGCGGUGAAAUGCGUAGAUAUCUGGAGGAACACCGGUGGCGAAGGCGGCAUCCUGGCCUGUUCUUGACGCUGAGGCGCGAAAGCUAGGGGAGCAAACGGG
rnacentral:rRNA from 1 species